GGCUGGCGGCCGGGGCUGGGGAUGCGGACACCGCCCCCGAGGCUGCACCCGGGCGGGCUCACGGACGCAGGGCGCCAGCGGCCGCUCCCCCUCGUCUCCGCAGUCCGCGGGAACGCGAGCUCCGAAGAGUAGAGGGUCUCAGCGGGUCAGUCUAGUCGGAGGGGCUGGGAAAGGACGGUCCCCUGGGCGGGGCGCCGGGAAGCCUCCCGAGCAAAAGCGCCGCAGGGAGCCUGUGGGAUGAUGCAAAGGGGCAGUAUGAGAUGCUUAGAUAACUGUGUCUCUUUGAAGCAAGUGGGCAGAGACCCCCUCUAAUAUCCGAUGAAAAUUAGCCUCCCUCUCACAACGAAGUGUUCAACUGCUUGCACUGGAACACGACCUGGACAUAUCCUUAGCAGAUCAGAAGAGGAGAGACCCAAGUUAAGGAAUCCUGAUACAUGAAGUUCCUAACCUAGGCAGUGAAGCCCUUGCGGUUUAAAUGGUGCAAGGCGUGGAAACAAAACCAAUACCAAGGCAACAAAGAAGACUAGUCAACAUCCCUGGCCGUGUGCCCCACUUCUUCUGAACUGAGAACAGAAGUCCUCUGACGUCUGCCUGAGACAGCACAGCCAGUGCGUCCUGAGCCAGCUUUGAACCAGAGGAAGACCGUCUUCAGCUGCUUCUGUAUGCACAGCACAUCAUCCAGCGAUAGUUCAGUGCCGUCUCUGGCCUCCGGUCCCUUUCCUUUCCCACCGACUAUUCUCACAGGGAUGCGGUUUCGGACCGAUCCUCCUGGGCCUCUGUGCUCACACCCAUGCCAGCCCAGCCAGCAUCUGUCUGCAGCCUUCAGCAAAGGCCCGAAGAGGGAAAAUAAUGGCUGAUGUGGAAUAAAACAACAUUCUACUUGUA